CGGUGUGGCUCAGCGAUAGAGCAUGUGCUUAGCAUGCAUAAUACCCUGGGUUCAUUCCCAGCACUG
rnacentral:tRNA from 1 species